rnacentral:rRNA from 1 species
GACAGAGGGUGCAAACGUUGUUCGGAAUUACUGGGCGUAAAGCGCGUGUAGGUGGCGAGGCAAGUCGGGUGUGAAAGCCCUGGGCCCAACCCAGGAAGUGCACUCGAUACUGCCUAGCUAGAGUCCCGGAGAGGUUGGUGGAACUCUCGGUGUAGAGGUGAAAUUCGUAGAUAUCGAGAAGAACACCGGUGGCGAAGGCGGCCAACUGGACGGUGACUGACACUGAGACGCGAAAGCGUGGGGAGCAAACAGG